rnacentral:rRNA from 1 species
AAGGUGAUAUGAACCGUUAUAGCCGGCGAUGUCCGAAUGGGGAAACCCAGUGCAAUUCGUUGCACUAUCGUUAACUGAAUACAUAGGUUAACGAGGCGAACCGGGGGAACUGAAACAUCUAAGUACCCCGAGGAAAAGAAAUCAACCGAGAUUCCCCCAGUAGCGGCGAGCGAACGGGGAGCAGCCCAGAGUCUGAAUCAGCUUGUGUGUUAGUGGAACGGUCUGGAAAGUCCGACGGUACAGGGU